GAUGAACGCUGGCGGCGUGCCUAAUACAUGCAAGUCGAGCGAACACACGAGGAGCUCGUGCCCCUGACGUUAGCGGGUGACGGGCGAGUAACACGUGGAUAACCUUCCUAUAAGACUGGGAUAACUUCGGGAAACCGGAUCCAAUACUGGAGCAUAUAUUGAACCGGUGGGUUCAAUAGUGAAACACGGCUUUCGUGAUUGUAAUAGAUGGUGCCGGGUCGCAUUAUCUAGUUGGUAAGGUAACGGCCUACCAAGGCUACGAUGCGUAGCCGACCUGAGAGGGUGAUCGGCCACACUGGAACUGAGACACGGUCCAGACUCCUACGGGAGGCAGCAGUGGGGAAUAUUGCACAAAGGGCGCAAGCCUGACCCAGCCAUACCGCGUGAGUGAAGAAGGCCUUCGGAUCGUAAAGCUCUGUUAUUAGGGAAGAACAACUGUGUAAGAAAAUCUGCACGUCUUGACGGUACCUAAACAGUAAGCACCGGCUAACUUCGUG
rnacentral:rRNA from 1 species